CUCUAGUCUGGCACGGUGAAGAG
rnacentral:piRNA from 3 species